rnacentral:rRNA from 1 species
AUGGAGGGGGCCGAUCGCCUGUACCCCUCGGUCGAGCCGUACGACCUCGAGCCCCCGCAGCUCGACGACGCCGCCGCCGCCGCCGUCGGCACUGGCGAGGCUAGGGUUUGCGACCCGCCGGUGAGGUGGGACGAGGAGCCCAAGGAGGGAACCCAUGUAUGCGAGCAAGGGGCGAAAGAUAAUCCUGACAGAGAUGACAUGGAAGACCACCUUAGUGUUGUCAAUAUUUAUGAGAGCGAUGACGAAAUGGCCACCUUCAAGGGAUCAGGAGAAAACAUCCAUUCUGAUUGCCCACUUCGUCAACAAACUGGCAUCUGGGUACCUCCUUCUGUUCCACCGAUGACAAAACAUGAUCAUGAGGAGUGGCAAAAGGGCUUUGUCUCAAAUGCUGGGUACUUCAUAGAAGACGAAUACAAGUGGGAUGUGGAUGAAGACAUCAGGGAGAUGACAAUGUGGGAUGUGUUUGCUGAGAUGGCUGUUGCAGGAAAAGAUAAAUUAUUAUCUGUUGCAUCAUAUGAUUUUGGGAGGCAUAGCAUGUCUCUAGUUUCACACUUCCUUCUUCAAGCGGCUUUGGAGGAUAACUCUCAAACACUUGCAGAGGCCAGUGUUGGUUCUGAACAUGCCCUGCUUGAGACAGAACCGACAAAGUGGUUGCCUGAUAGUGCUGCUCCUUCUUGCAUGCUUUGUGGAGUGCGCUUCCAUCCAGUAAUUUGCUCUCGCCAUCAUUGUCGUUUUUGUGGUGGGAUAUUCUGUGGCGGCUGUUCAAAGGGUAGAAGCUUGAUGCCUCCAAAAUUCGGAACUUCAGAUCCUCAAAGGGUCUGUGAUGUUUGUGGAGUACGUCUUGAGUGUAUUCAGCCUUACUUGAUGAACCAGAUAAGUCGUGCUUGUCAACUUCCGACUAAAGAUUUGACAGACCUGAGCACCUUGAGGUCAUGGUUAAACCUCCCAUGGGCACCAACGAUGGAGUAUGAGAUAUACAAGGCUGCAAAUUCCAUACAUGGGUAUUGUAAGGUUGGAAAGCUGAAUCCAGAGAAGUCCAUUCCUGAUUCAAUUCUUAGACAAGCAAAGGGACUUGCUAUAAUUACUGUGGUAAAGGUUGGAAUGAUGGUCACGUACAAAAUUGGUACUGGGCUGGUUAUUGCUCGCAGAGCUGAUGGUUCUUGGUCUCCUCCUUCGGCCAUAUCUACUUGUGGUGUUGGAUAUGGAGCUCAGGCUGGCGCUGAGUUAGCUGACUUCAUCAUUGUUCUGAGGAACACUGAUGCAAUUAAAACAUUCAGUGGAAAUGCACAUCUGUCACUUGGGGCUGGUUUCGGUGCUGCUGCUGGUCAUCUUGGACGGGUGGCAGAGGCUGAUUUCCGUGCCGGUGAUGGUGGUUAUGCUGCCUGUUACACAUACAGUUGUAGCAAAGGCGCCUUUGUGGGAUGCGCACUCAAUGGAAGUGUAGUAUCAACCCGAAACAACGAAAAUGCCCGAUUCUAUGGCGGUCCAGUCAAGGCAUCAGAAAUCCUUCUUGGUUCACUGCCCAAGCCACCUGCGGCCGCCACUCUCUAUAAAGCUCUAUCCACACUAUUUGAUAAGAUCGGAAAGUAA